rnacentral:rRNA from 1 species
UACAGAGGUCUCAAGCGUUGUUCGGAUUCAUUGGGCGUAAAGGGUGUGUAGGUGGCGCGCUAAGUCGGGUGUGAAAAUUUCGGAGCUUAACUCCGAAACUGCAUUCGAUACUGCCGUGCUUGAGGACUGGAGAGGAGACUGGAAUUUACGGUGUAGCGGUGAAAUGCGUAGAUAUCGUAAGGAAGACCAGUGGCGAAGGCGGGUCUCUGGACAGUUCCUGACGCUGAGGCACGAAGGCCAGGGAGCAAACGGG